rnacentral:rRNA from 1 species
ACGGAAGGCAGCAGUGGGGAAUAUUGCACAAUGGGCGCAAGCCUGAUGCAGCCAUGCCGCGUGUAUGAAGAAGGCCUUCGGGUUGUAAAGUACUUUCAGCGGGGAGGAAGGGAGUAAAGUUAAUACCUUUGCUCAUUGACGUUACCCGCAGGAGAAGCACCGGCUAACUCCGUGCCAGCAGCCGCGGUAAUACGGAGGGUGCAAGCGUUAAUCGGAAUUACUGGGCGUAAAGCGCACGCAGGCGGUUUGUUAAGUGAGAUGUGAAAUCCCCAGGCUCAACCUGAGAACUGCAUCUAAAACUGGCGAGCUUGAGUCACGUAGAGGGGAGUGGAAUUCCAGGUGUAGCGGUGAAAUGCGUAGAGAUCGGGAGGAAUACCGGUGGCGAAGGCGGCCCCCUGGAC